UAGCUCAGUUGGUAGAGUGAUAGCCUUGCAUGCAGAAGACCCUGGGUUCAAUCCCCAG
rnacentral:tRNA from 1 species